UCCAUUGCUUAGCGUGGGAGAUGGAUGAA
rnacentral:piRNA from 1 species